rnacentral:rRNA from 1 species
UACGGGGGGGGCAAGCGUUGUUCGGAAUUACUGGGCGUAAAGGGCGCGUAGGCGGCCUUCUAAGUCGGACGUGAAAUCCCUCGGCUUAACCGAGGAACUGCGUCUGAUACUGGAAGGCUUGAAUCCGGGAGAGGGAUGUGGAAUUCCAGGUGUAGCGGUGAAAUGCGUAGAUAUCUGGAGGAACACCGGUGGCGAAGGCGGCAUCCUGGACCGGCAUUGACGCUGAGGAGCGAAAGCCAGGGGAGCAAACGGG